GACCGCUCUGGUAGCCUAAUGGUUAGAGCGUCCGCCUCGGAUGCGGGAGGUCUCGGGUUGGAACCCCCGGCCGAGUCA